rnacentral:rRNA from 1 species
AGCGGCGGACGGGUGAGUAACACGUGGGUAACCUGCCCAAGAGACUGGGAUAACACCUGGAAACAGAUGCUAAUACCGGAUAACAACACUAGACGCAUGUCUAGAGUUUGAAAGAUGGUUCUGCUAUCACUCUUGGAUGGACCUGCGGUGCAUUAGCUAGUUGGUAAGGUAACGGCUUACCAAGGCAAUGAUGCAUAGCCGAGUUGAGAGACUGAUCGGCCACAUUGGGACUGAGACACGGCCCUAACUCCUACGGGAGGCAGCAGUAGGGUAUCUUCCACAAUGGACGAAAGUCUGAUGGAGCAACGCCGCGUGAGUGAAGAAGGGUUUCGGCUCGUAAAGCUCUGUUGGUAGUGAAGAAAGAUAGAGGUAGUAACUGGCCUUUAUUUGACGGUAAUUACUUAGAAAGUCACGGCUAACUACGUGCCAGCAGCCGCGGUAAUACGUAGGUGGCAAGCGUUGUCCGGAUUUAUUGGGCGUAAAGCGAGUGCAGGCGGUUCAAUAAGUCUGAUGUGAAAGCCUUCGGCUCAACCGGAGAAUUGCAUCAGAAACUGUUGAACUUGAGUGCAGAAGAGGAGAGUGGAACUCCAUGUGUAGCGGUGGAAUGCGUAGAUAUAUGGAAGAACACCAGUGGCGAAGGCGGCUCUCUGGUCUGCAACUGACGCUGAGGCUCGAAAGCAUGGGUAGCGAACAGGAUUAGAUACCCUGGUAGUCCAUGCCGUAAACGAUGAGUGCUAAGUGU